rnacentral:lncRNA from 1 species
GUGAUUAGGAUUCUUGGUGUGUGUGGGGUUAAAACCGGCAGGAGAAGGUGUUUUUAGAUACUUGGCAGGGGUGAGCUUUACACAACCCAAUCUUCGGAUCGGGGGCUUAGGGUCCGUUCUUGGACGUUCCCUGUUUGGUACUUGUUGCGAGUACACAGCUGAGGAGCAUAGGAGUUGGUGUUGAUACCUAUUAUGGGUGUCGUUGCGGACCACGUUGUGGAUACGCUUUUGGGAGUUAGGAGCUCGCCUCGGUCUGAAACCGAGUGGGUCGUCAUGCUUCACGGCAAUAUGUUAAACGUGCA